CUCAUGUUAAUUGAAUUCAUUUGAGCGAAUAACAAUUUCUCUUUGCAAUUUCUCGUGCAUUAUUUAUAUAUAUACAGAACAGAUUAAAAAUGGAUGGAAUUUUCACGCAUAGUAACUGUCUAAUCAAUUACGCUUUUAGGGAGUGUUCCAAGCCCGUAGCUGGCUCUCAAUUUCUGGGGGGGGGGGCACUGCAGAAAGAAUGUAACAGACGGUUUGAGAUGAGCCCCCCCCGUCGCCAAAAAAAUUUCGGUCAGUGUACCGUUUUAGGGGUCAAAAAUUUUUUCCGGACAUAUCAAUUUUUUCCGGACAGACCAAAUUUUUCCGAAACCUAACAAAAUUUUUCGAAACAUCACAAAAUUUACCACAAAAUUUACAGAAUUUGUCCCAUGAUUACAAUUGGUUUCCAGGUCCUUUAUCUCAAUUUUUCAUACCAAAUUUCGGAGUGGGGGGGGGGGGCAAUGCCCCCCCUCAGUUACGGGCCUGGAGUGUUCAUUAUUUAUGGUUUCACACAUCCUCCAUCUCAAUAUCUACAUGACCCCCCUCUGGCAACAGCAAAACUUACGUGAUACCCCCCCCCCAAGAAAAGACCAAAAACUUUUGUGACCCCCUCCCCCAUUUUAUAUAAAAUACAGUACAAGUGUAUAAAUAUGUUAUGUACAAUAUCAGUUAAACAAUAAAAAGGUCUUUAUUUUAUGACAUUAGUAAUAGUGCAAAAGCUCUUGUUAUUAGCCUUUCUCAAUAAUAUUCAAAUAUUGGAUGGGUAUAUUGCUAUAUACAUAAGUUUUGAAUCAUCGGCAUUCGGCGUUUAUGGCCAUCUUUGUUGCGAGUUAUAUUUGAGUUCUAUUCAAAGAACGUAAUGGACGAUUGCCGGCUAUUUUAGCAAAGGCCAAAGUAAUUCGGCAAAGUCAUUUAAGGGAGCAGUUCUGUGUUCAUUAUUUAUGAUUUCGGGGGACAGUGAAAUCAUGGGGGGGGGGGUCAAAAAAAGUUUGGUGUUUCUUUUUGGGGUAUCACCAGAGUUUGAGGAGUAAUUCAGGGGAGGGGAUCAUGAAAAUUUUAGUUCUGGCAACGUUUUGACCUCUUUAAAUAUGUUAUUAUAGAACAUGAAAAUUUUGAAUUUAACAUGGCUACAAAUUUAAUUAGCCUUUCCACGCCACUAUUUUUGGGUGGCAUUUCAGCCGAAGUCUGUGAGAUAAGUCCACAUAACAGCGACUUUAUAUAAUUUUUUCGACAAAUGAUGGUAAAUUUGCUUUGUAAAUGGUUAGUUUCUUUUGAGAAAUUGCUUUUCACAUUGUUUUAGAAUUGGAUGCCACCCAAAAAUGGCGGAUAUUCGUCAUCGUCCAUAUUCCAUAAUUUGACAUGAAACCAGACCAUCAGGCCAUCUGAAAUCUGGGAAAUUGAGUAAUUUGAGAUCUCAGGCUGAGCCCUAUGACCUAACCCAUAACUAACAGACUAACAUAUGUUCUCAGUAUAGACAGUAUAAGACAAUGCACUACUGUAUUAACAUGAUUUGUCUGUUAAACUAAAUUUUAAAUUGACGCAUUUUCUAACAGCUGCUUGUUUCGGUUUACCCGAAAUAUUAAAGAUGGUUGGUUAUAAUUACUGGCAAUCAUAGGUGUACCAAAGGGUGCGUGUGCUGCAGCCCCCUCCCCCAAAUAAUUUUUAAAUCGGACAGAUUCAACUUAGUUUAGUAAGGGAAAGUACAUUUAUUACGCUGGGGGGGGGGGGGGGAUGAAGAUGUCUUGAAAAACGCACAUUUUUUUUCAGGGCCCCUGUUGAGGUUAUUGGAAAUUUUUCGAAGCCCCCCUUCAAGUUUUUUAAAUUUUCAAUGCCCUCCCCCCCAACAUUCGGAAUCGAAUGAAAUUGCCAACAUAUCACCUGGCAUCUGUUGCAAAUGUCUUUGCAUGCCUGUCAAAAUCGCCAGUAUGCUUCAAUUUCUUUACUUUUUAUCCCG
rnacentral:lncRNA from 1 species